rnacentral:antisense_RNA from 1 species
GAUAACCAUAGAUGGUCAUGACAUCAAGGGUGGGGUUAGUUACUAACCUAACAGUUUGGGUGGUGGCAUCAUAUAGUCCUCCCCAGUACAUGGCUUUUCCUGCUAAGAGUAAAGCUCCAAAACCAAGGAAAAGAAGAUGAUGUCCGAGAAUUAAUCCUAAUUUAGCAGGAUCAUCCCA